GACGAACGCUGGCGGCGUGCUUAACACAUGCAAGUCGAACGCUGAAGCUCAGCUUUUGUUGGGUGGAUGAGUGGCGAACGGGUGAGUAACACGUGAGUAACCUGCCUCCUUCUUUGGGAUAACGCCCGGAAACGGGUGCUAAUACUGGAUAUUCACUGGUCUUCGCAUGGGGGUUGGUGGAAAGGGUUUUUCUGGUGGGGGAUGGGCUCGCGGCCUAUCAGCUUGUUGGUGGGGUGAUGGCCUACCAAGGCUUUGACGGGUAGCCGGCCUGAGAGGGUGACCGGUAACAUUGGGACUGAGAUACGGCCCAGAAACCGACGGGAGGCAGCAGUGGGGAAUAUUGCACAAUGGGCGCAAGCCUGAUGCAGCGACGUCGCGUGAGGGAUGGAGGCCUUCGGGUUGUGAACCUCUUUCGCUCAUGGUCAAGCCGCAACAAUGGUUGUGGUGAGGGUAGUGGGUAAAGAAGCGCCGGCUAACUACGUG
rnacentral:rRNA from 1 species